ensembl:lincRNA
AUGUGCCUUACUCUAGCUGCUGUUGCUGGACCUGGGAGCACAGGUCAGGUGGGGAAGGGAAAUGGGGCAUCACCAGGGGGUCCCCCUAGCUGUGCCUUAGGAUCUGGAGAGGCCGCUGUGGCUGGGCGGAACCCAGUCUCAGACUUCCAGAGCCUUCAGAGCUUGGGGGCCCCAAAGAUGUCACUGGAGCUUCGUUUGUGGGGGAUGUUGCGGUUUCCAGAACACUCUCUCCCACCUCCUGGAUUCAGUCGGAUAAGCGUUUUAAAGUCAUACUCACAGGUGCUGGGGGUUGCCACAAAACACCCAAUAUUUGAAAUGUGUUCUAUGGACCUAAGAGGACAAAGAGACACCUUAAAAUGUUUGCUGGAUGACAGUAGGAGGGUGGGGCACUGAGACUCUGCUGCUCAUCUUCAUGGAGUCCUGCGGCCACCAGGCCCUCUGUCACCAGGCUGGAGUGCAGUGGCACAAUCUCAGCUCACUGCAACCUCUGCCUCCCCGGAAAUUCUGUCUCAGCCUCCUGAGUAGCUGGGAUUACAGGCGCCCGCCACCAUGCCCGGCUAAUUUUUGUAUUUUUAAUAGAGACAGGGUUUCACCAUGUUGGCCAGGAUGGUCUCAAACUUUUGACCUUGUGAUCUGCCCACCUCGGACUCCCAAAGUGCUGGGAUUACAGGCGUGAGCCACCACGCUUGGCCCAGACGUCAAGAUUUUUAACAAAUGGGCCCCAAUCCCAAGCAAGUACUUGGAAGUGGCCACACGGCUGUGUGGACCCCAGUGCAGGGAACCUUCUGGAGGCAGCUGGACACAGGGGCUGCCGAUGGGGAGAUGAACGCCGCUCAUUCUGACAUUUCAUCUGAAUAACACUCCAAGUGUUCUAAUGAAAGCCUCUGUGCUCCCUUUGAAAUACUAGCAAUUACAGAGAUGAAUAAUUGCAUGAUAAAUAUUAAUUUGUACCAUCGUAAUGAGGCCCAUAAGCGUCCUGCUGCUAAGUGAGAAUUUAGCUCUUUCCACUCACUCCCGGGAAGCGGGGUGCUGCUCACAGCCCCUGGGGGAUGCCGCCCUGCUCUGAGAGGCCCAGGGCCAUGGUGGCCAGCUCGCUGGGCCAGACAAUGGCAGGCCCAAGCACCACCCUGCUCCUGCCACUGCCUCGCUUGAUGACAAAGGGCACAUUGCUGCCUUCCCCUGGGCCUCAGUUUCCCAAGCAGACACUGGCGAAAUUGUGUGAGAUGACAUCUAAGGGCUCUGCCAGCUCAGGCAGUCCAGGAGGUGACGUCUAGAAUCCCCAACUGCCUCCGAUCCACUGGUGGGAAAUCCACCCCGUCCAGAGCCUUCCCUCCAGGCGCGCUGUCUCUGGGUGCUCCCAGUGUGCCUGGCAUCUGGGCGAUGAGCGGGUAUUUGCUGAGUGAAUAGUGAUAUCCCUUUGCCCAGACACAGCAUCUCACAGCUUUUCUUUCUUGGUCUUCGUGAAAUCAAAACUGACAAGUUGCCCUCCUUCCAGCUGAGUAAGUGUGGCCAUCACACCCCACCCUCAGGAAGGAGGAGAACGUAGCAGCUUGCAGUAGAGAUGGAACAUCACCAAACCACAGUGACAGCACAAAGGGCCGCCCGUCUGGCUGUGGUCUCCCAAGGAAAAGACACCUGGAGCCCUCGCAGAGGCUGCUGGCUCCCCUGACAGCCCUGCCUUUUGGUGCUGAGUGUCUGCAGAUGUUUGGCAACUUUUGCAAAUAUGAUGAUGGCAGAGGAGAGCUUCGCCUUUUCCAUCUUAAACAGUGAGCCUAGGACACUUGAUGAUCUGGGGACGUUUUCUUCCUUUGAACACUCGCUGUUUUUUUUUUUUUUUUUNNNNNNNNNNNNNNNNNNNNNNNNNUUGCUCUGUCGUCCAGGCUGGAGUACAGUGGCACAAUCUUGGCUCACUGCAACCUCUGCCUCCUGGGUUCAAGCGACUCUUCUGCCUCAGCCUUCCGAGUAGCUGGGACUACAAGCGUGCGCCACCAUACCCAACUAAUUUUUUUAUUUUUAGUAGAAACAGGGUUUCACCAUGUUGGCCAGGAUAACCUCGAUCUCUUGACCUUGUGAUCCGCCUGCCUUGGCCUCCCAAAGUGCUGGGGUCACAGGCAUGAGCCACCGCACCCUGUCUGCUGUGUGUUUUAUUGGGCGAGCCAUCCUUCCUGUGUCUGGGCUCCCUUGAGUCUGCAAACCUUCUUUGGAAGUAAAUGGUUUCUCUGAGUAUUGUCCACUAUUGGAUCUGAUCCUCUGGUGAGGAUCAGGUUCCUGGUGUCUGCCACCAAGCAGGGAGACCGAGGGGCCACCAAAGUUGCCACCCCUAGAAAUACAGUUGCCCAGCUCCAGUCAGAGGCACAUGUCAGAAACCACACACAUACAGACACACACACACAGACACACACACAUGCUACAUGCUACAUGGAUGUGGGGCUGAGGCUCCAGCCUGUGGGACUGUGUGUGUGGCCUCAGAAGUGGAUCUUGUGGGCUCUCUGUGCCCCCAAGUUCCUCUUCCCCAGGGUGGCCCCAUGCAGCAAGAGAAGGGUUGUGUAUGUGUGUAUGUGUGUGUGUGGUAUCUCUGUGGUUUGUGGUGUGUGUAUGAUGUGUGUGUAUGUGAUGUGUGGGAUGAGUGUGUAUCUGUGGUAUGUAUGGUAUAUGGUAUGUGUGUGGCAUGUGUGUGAUGUGCAUGGUGUGUGAUGUGUGUGGUGUGUGUGGUGUGUAUGGUGUACGAUGUGUGUGGUACAUGGUAUGUGUGUGUGACAUGUGAUGUGUGGCACAUGGUGUGUGGUGUGUGGCAUGUGUGUGGUGUAUGUAUAGUAUGUGUGUGCUAUAUGGUGUGUGUGGUAUAUGUGUGUGGUCUACGUGUGUGAUGUGUGCGUAUGGUGUGUGUGGUGUGUGUGUGUGAUGCGUGUGUAUUGUGUGUGCGUGUGAUGUGUGCAUAUGGUGUGUGUGGUGUGUGCGUGUGAUGCAUGCGUAUGGUGUGUGUGGUGUGUGCGUGUGAUGCGUGCGUAUGGUGUGUGUGGUGUGUGCGUGUGAUGCGUGCAUAUGGUGUGUGUGGUGUGUGCGUGUGAUGCGUGCAUAUGGUGUGUGUGGUGUGUGCGUGUGAUGCAUGCGUAUGGUGUGUGUGGUGUGUGCGUGUGAUGCGUGCGUAUGGGUGUGUGUGGUGUGUGCGUGUGAUGCGUGUGUAUGGUGUGUGUGGUGUGUGCGUGUGAUGUGUGUGUAUGGUGUGUGUGGUGUAUGAGUGUGAUAUGUGCUAUGUGCCAUGUGAUGUGUGUGGUGUGUAUGUGUGGUGUAUGUGUGUGACAUGUGGCAUGUACCACAUGUACACGCAUGUGUGUGUGUGUGUGUGGUUUCUGACAUGUGCCUCUGACUGGAGCCUGGCUGCUGUAUCUCUGGGGGAAGUGGCUUCAGUGGCCCGGCGGGCUCUCUGCUGGGUGGCAGACACGGGGAAUCUGGGCCUCUCCUUUCGCUUCUUGCCUAUGUGGGUCUGUUUGCCUUGUGGAUCCUGCUACCUUCAGCAUUAGCAGCACGUGUCACUUGAUCGCGGGUUCCAAGAUUCUGUUUUGGUUGGCUCGAGGGCCCCUCCUGACCUUGGGCUUGGGAGGGCCCUGGGUCUCAUCCUCACAACGUGAGAGCAUUGUGUGUCUCUUCCAUCGUGGGCAGGGUCCUCUAUGUUGAUCUCGUUUGCAAUCCUAUGAGUGAAAAUCACUCCCGAAAUGCAUCUUGUGUGGCCAGAACAGAGGGCGGCCCCUUGAGGUCCCCCGGCUCUCGGAGCUCCGUGUUUCUGGAGCUGCUGCAGCCGCCCAGUGGGUUUCUGUGUCCUGUGCCAACUUGUGACUCAUGGUUAAAGUUGUGAAACUGAGUCUGUGAGUUCUUUUCAUGUGUUAAUGACAAAAAACCAUUUUUUUCCUCCUUGAAAAAGGAGGGUCCUUAGCCUUCAAUGCUGGCCUGUUUGUAAUGGAAACCUUUCUGCCUCUGUGGCCUGCUCGUGAGCUCCCUCGAUGGCAGAUAUUGGAGAUCCGCUGGUAAUAAGAAUUGAACAUUUGUAUGCACCUUAGAGAUUUCUGUAACAAUGAGGAUGUGGGAAGUAAAAAUGUUUAAAGUUUCCUUUCUUGUUAAAGAAUAAAUCACAAGUGUGCUAAUAACUUUGUUAAGCCCUAUCCUCUGUAGCUGUUAGACACGCCAUGCUUACAGGCAUGUGGUACAUUCUAUGUCCUUGUACUUUAACCGAUAUAUCUGUGCUGGAUGUGCUCACAGGCAUGUCCCAGCUCUCCACUGCUUUUACCUGCUUAGAAAAGUUGUAAGUUGUUAGCCAAUCGGGUUUUAGUUUAGAUUGUGAGGUUUGGCACCAGCCAACGGAGAUCAGACCCAGCAGGAAGGACGACCCCAAAUGCGUAAGGAAUAAAUAUGUCUGCUUUUCCUUUAUUCAUUGUACUCUCAUGGCAAGAUGGCUAGUCAGAGUACCCUUCCUGCAGUCCAGGAAGUAAAAAUUGCGUUGCUGAAAGAUCCUUUGUCUGAGUGCUGAUUUUUCUUUGCAGCACGAAGCAUCUGUUUCCAACAAGGAGUUGUGUGUCAUGGGCUGAACUGUGUCCCCACGCCCCACCAAUUCUGUGCUGAAGUAAUCAACCUCAGGCCCUCAGCGUGUGACUGCAUUUGGAGGCAGGGCCUUUAAAGAGGCGACUGAAGUUAAAUGAGGUCAUUGGGGCAGGCCCUUAUCCAAUAGGACCGGUGUCCCUGUGAGAAGAGAAGAUCAUAAGGACAUCGGCCCUAUUGGAUUAGGAUACAGACACGUUAGUGUGGGACAGCCACGUGAGGACAUAGGGAGAAGGUGGUUUGUGCAAGCCACGGAGCGAGGCUGCCGGGGAAGCAAGCAUGCUGACACCUGGAUCCUGGUGUAAGGAAAUACAUCUCUGUAGCUUAAGUCCCGGCCUGUGGUACUUUGUUAUGGCAGCCUGAGCAAACUCAGAGAUCAUUAUUCAUUUAUUGUUUAUUUAGUUUUUUGAGACAGAGUCUCACUCUGUUGCCCAGGCUGGAAUGCAAUGGUGCGAUCUUGGCUAUCACUGCAACCUCUGCCUCCUGGGUUCAACCAGUUCUCCUGCCUC